ACUCCUACGGGAGGCAGCAGUGGGGGAAUAUUGCACAAUGGGCGCAAGCCUGAUGCAGCCAUGCCGCGUGUAUGAAGAAGGCCUUCGGGUUGUAAAGUACUUUCAGCAGUGAGGAAGGUGGGUAUGUUAAUAGCAUAUUCAUUUGACGUUAGCUGCAGAAGAAGCACCGGCUAACUCCGUGCCAGCAGCCGCGGUAAUACGGAGGGUGCGAGCGUUAAUCGGAAUUACUGGGCGUAAAGCGCAUGCAGGUGGUUUGUUAAGUCAGAUGUGAAAGCCCGGGGCUCAACCUCGGAAUUGCAUUUGAAACUGGCAAACUAGAGUACUGUAGAGGGGGUAGAAUUUCAGGUGUAGCGGUGAAAUGCGUAGAGAUACUGAAGGAAUACCGGUGGACGAAGGCGGCCCCCUGGACAGAUACUGACACUCAGAUGCGAAAGCGUGGGGAGCAAACAGGAUUAGAUACCCUGGUAGGCUCU
rnacentral:rRNA from 1 species